CGGGCAAUGAAGCAAGCUGUCCAUCUCCUAACAGACAGAUGGACAGAUUGUGGACUCAGAUGCAGGGGACAUGAAUUUUUGGACACAGACAAUGAGCUCCCGAUCUACAAUCCAUCAUUAUCACCAUGACUGGGUCAACUCCUCUUCAGACCUGAUCUGUGACAAAUAGUCUUUAGACCAACUUUUCCAUAAUAUCAGAUAUGGAAGAGACCUUACAGGCUGUACUCCAAAAUGUGACCAAACAAAAAUGACCACACUAUCUAUCUGUCAUUGGGGCAUGGAGGUAACCCUGAGUCCUUUAAGACUAUGCAAGCAGAGCACGGUGAGGACGAUGUUAAACACCCUCCAGCUUUGGUUCAGCUGCUUCUUCCCCGGUUACUCAGACUCACUAAGAGCUGCACCUCCCAGGCAGAACUUUUGUCACUGCCCCCCCUUCAACCCAUCUCUUAGGAAACUCCCAUGAUGCUUCUCAAAAAAAUAUCCUUUUGUCAGAUUCCUUUGGGGAGGAUAGUCUCUGAUUGACUGAAAGAAAACUCUGAACCACAGGAAACUGGAUCCUUAACUUGGAUCCAGGGCCAGAGCCUAGAUUUCCUUUUCCCAAGAGGCAUGGUUAAUACUAUUGCAGAGCAUUCUCAAGGCAAGACCAUCAGAUGGUCCUGUGACAUUCCUUUCCUUGGAAACAAACAACUUUGGGGAGUAAUUGUACUUAAGAGGAUUGGGAAGGGCCAUGUACAUUAACGAGACUGUAUUAGGUGUAUAUAAAUCAUUCCGAAUUUCUUGCGUGUUAAUUUCCAGGCUGAGCUUGUUUAACAGGGGGAAAAAAUGAUGUUUCCAGUCACUGUGUCUGCUGGUCCCCUCCCCCAAAUCCCUCCACUUCCGUUAUUCAAGACACGCUGGAAGGAACAAAAUGUUCCUGAAGUUAAAGGGGCCUGCCAAAUCCCUCCCACUUUCCAGGGAGCUUGUUUUCUUGUUUUUUAAACUGAGUUCUGUAAAAAGCACAAGCUACAACACAAGGGUUGUUUCUCCUCUACUCCCUCCAGUGACUCAGGGACACAGCCUCCUUCACUCCCUAAAUGCAUUACUGCAGUGCAGUAUUCCUGGCACAUUUGCCAGGAGCGACUUCUCCAUGCCACAGCUGCAUUGGGAUCCAGGCCAGGAAGUGAGAUGCCUGAAUUUGCUGAUGCAGAAAAUUUCAGUAGAAACCUUUGCCACCCAUGUGGCAGAGAGGUUUUCCAGCCCUUUCAUUUCCUCCUCUCCUUUCCUCUCCUUUCCUCCUUUUAUCCUCUCACUCAAUCUGAGGGUCAGAAGAAAAACCGUGGUAGGUUUUCUAGUCUUCUCCCCCCAUUCUUGAUCACAGACACAAUUAAGCCAUCCUGAAGAGAAAAGCAUUUUUUGUUUGUUUGAAAAACCUCCAAGGGGGAUUCCACAACCUUUGCAAUUCAGUUCCAAGAUAACUUUAAAAUAUAAUUAGAUGAGACUAGAAUAUAAUCAUACCCCACUUCUGGUGCCCAUUAAUAGGACCAUACUCCAGUGAAAGAAUGACAAAGUUUGACUUCAUUAAAGGAAGGUAGCUUGGUAGUGGAUGGAGUGCUGAAAGUAGUGAAGAGAUCUGUGUUCAAAUCCUGACUGAUAUUUAGUAGACAUGUGAUAAUAAGAGGAAUCACUGUAAAAUGAAGAUAACAUACUUGCACUUAAUACAUUCCAGUGUUGCUGUGGAGAAAGUCUCAGCUAAUGUCCUGCCUUCUAUAAAAAGCCUUUCCUAAUCCUCUUUAAUCUUAGUGCCUUCUUUCAGAGAUUAUCUGCAAUUUAUCCUGUAUAUAUCUUGUUUGUAAAUAGUUGUUUGUAUGUUAG